AAAUGACGGUACCUGACUAAGAAGCCCCGGCUAACUACGUGCCAGCAGCCGCGGUAAUACGUAGGGGGCAAGCGUUAUCCGGAUUUACUGGGUGUAAAGGGAGCGCAGACGGCACUGCAAGUCUGAAGUGAAAGCCCGGGGCUCAACCCCGGGACUGCUUUGGAAACUGUAGAGCUAGAGUGCUGGAGAGGCAAGCGGAAUUCCUAGUGUAGCGGUGAAAUGCGUAGAUAUUAGGAAGAACACCAGUGGCGAAGGCGGCUUGCUGGACAGUAACUGACGUUCAGGCUCGAAAGCGUGGGGAGCAAACAGGAUUAGAUACCCUGGUAGUCCACGCUGUAAACGAUGAAUACUAGGUGUUGGUGGGCAAAGCCCAUCGGUGCCGCCGCAAACGCAGUAAGUAUUCCACCUGGGGAGUACGUUCGCAAGAAUGAAACUCAAA
rnacentral:rRNA from 1 species